UACAGAGGGUGCGAGCGUUAAUCGGAGUUACUGGGCGUAAAGGGCGCGUAGGCGGUUAUAUAAGUGAGAUGUGAAAAUCCCUGGGCUUAACCUAGGAACUGCAUCUCAUACUGUAUGACUGGAGUAUUGUAGAGGGUAGUGGAAUUUCCGGUGUAGCGGUGAAAUGCGUAGAGAUCGGAAGGAACACCAGUGGCGAAGGCGGCUACCUGGACAAAUACUGACGCUGAGGCGGCGAGAGCGUGGGGAGCAAACAGG
rnacentral:rRNA from 1 species